AGAUCUACUAGGCCUAUCCGGCAAUCUAUAGCUUUUCUUCAAUAUCUAUACUUAUUAUUUUAUAUACCAAUCUGAAUUGAGCUGCACAAGUUUUGAAUAACGAUUUAUUUUGCAACUCUCUUGUAAAGGAUAAAAAGACAAGAUGGGUAACCGUUCAUCUAAGAAACACGCUAAGAUGACAGAUGACGAUGAGGGCGCUAUACCGUCAAACGAUUCGGACUCCACAGGAAACAAAG